rnacentral:rRNA from 1 species
AUUGAACGCUGGCGGCAGGCCUAACACAUGCAAGUCGAGCGGAUGAAGGGAGCUUGCUCCUGGAUUCAGCGGCGGACGGGUGAGUAAUGCCUAGGAAUCUGCCUGGUAGUGGGGGAUAACGUCCGGAAACGGGCGCUAAUACCGCAUACGUCCUGAGGGAGAAAGUGGGGGAUCUUCGGACCUCACGCUAUCAGAUGAGCCUAGGUCGGAUUAGCUAGUUGGUGGGGUAAAGGCCUACCAAGGCGACGAUCCGUAACUGGUCUGAGAGGAUGAUCAGUCACACUGGAACUGAGACACGGUCCAGACUCCUACGGGAGGCAGCAGUGGGGAAUAUUGGACAAUGGGCGAAAGCCUGAUCCAGCCAUGCCGCGUGUGUGAAGAAGGUCUUCGGAUUGUAAAGCACUUUUAGUUGGGAGGAAGGGCAGUAAGUUAAUAUCUUGCUGUUUUGACGUUACCAACAGAAUAAGCACCGGCUAACUUCGUG